UCCUCAAAUACCAUCUCAGGAGGUCAUCUCCUGAGUUCCCCACAUUACCUGUGCCCCAUUUACUUUCUAUCCUGUUCAUCUGCUUUAUUCUUCAUUGUAUUCAUAUUUCGUAUAAUACAUUGUUUGUUUACCUUCUGCCCUGAAUCAAACUGGUAAGUUCUAAGAGGGCAGGGAAUUGUCUGUCUCAGCCACACUGCAUUCCAGAGCCUAGAACAACACCUGAUGCAGAGUACUACUCAAAAAAAUAUUGCUGAAUAAGUCAAUGGACAUGGAGGAGAUUCCAAUAAGAACUUGUUACUAUCCUUGCUAUGAUCAGUACUGUCUCUUUUUAUUGGUUAGGUAACUCAGUUGACAAAGGAUUAUUUCAAAAGAUAAAACUGAUGGGAAAUUGAGUGAACGAUGUUGGUUUCAAUCAGAUCAAAGCACAAAUUUCAAGCAAAUUAGGAGACCAAACAUUCAUGACAAGGAUGUUCUCCAAACACAGAUCAGUCAGCACCACUGAAUUUCCCAACACAGCCCCAGUUUUCAUUGCUUCUAAAUCCCUCUAAGUUCAGAAAUAGCCCUCUGCUGCUGAUCAUAAAUAUUCUUAAUUCAUCUCUCAUUUUUCUAUCAGGAAACAAUUGACCUUGGGUUUUUUUUUUUUAUCAUUUUAUUUACGUGUUCCCUGCAAGGCUGGGAACAUUGAAUUUCCUAAGAGAUAAUGUUAAUAAGAUCAAUAAACCACAGCUAUCAUGUAUCUAAGUGCCAUUUCUUCACCCUUAACCUGAGGCACCUGGUGCUGCAGGCAGACAGCCUCUGCUGAGAUCCACCCAGCACCAGCAAUUCUGAAGAUGGCAGGAAGGCACCUUUGCUUAUAAAUUUUGAGUGAGCUCAAGCAUUUUGAUGACCGAGAUAACAAGCCAAAUACAACGCAACAGAGAACUCAGUGGGGAGUCUGGAAGCCUGGAAGCCUGAAGUCCUCAAGUAAUAUUUGAAAGCUAUCUCUCAACAUAGUCCACACUAGGGGCAGAACAGGUGGAAGGGAAGCCAGGGGCAGGGCUCAGGCAAAAUGUCAGUUCCUUUGUUGGAAUCCUGUUCUGAGUGAUGGGGGUAAAUCAGAACAAACCAUCUCCCAAGUGGGUCUUACCUUACAUCUGCUUUCAGAAGUUUCUAGUUCUGUUGUAUCCAAUGUAGGCAGUGGAAGGAAGCCAGAGAGCUCACUGCUUAAUGGCAGAGCUCCUUGGGCCUUGAGGAGAGGUUAUUCAGACAAUACAAAUGUGGUAUCAUUCCUGUGGUCUCCAGACUCCAGUGCACCCAGGCAAGCAGGCUUGCUAUCCUGCAAACACACAGGCCAGAGCAGUUCCCCCUGUUCAACCCCCCACGGGAUAUGCCCUAGGUCACUACCGCACAAAGCAUUCAGUCUGACUCACUGGCAAAAUUCAGUGGGGUGUCCCCUCAAAACACUGGCCUGGGAGCAAUGACUAGCCCCUCCCACCCGAGCCCUUAUCACUCCACUCAUUUGUGGUUCCAAUUCAGAAGUUCAGUAGAUUCAGCUGGAGGGCUCUGGGGAACUGUAGAUUCCCCUGCUUCACUUCAGACCUACUGGUGAAGAGAAGGGGCCAGGGAGAGCUUUAAUUAGAGUAGGAGAGUCCAUGUUUUUAAACACUCCCAAAGGAUCUUCAUAGGUCUCUCAGCUAACAUAGGCCUAAGAACCAUUUCUCCAAAAUUCCAGUGGUUCUCAAACAAGAAUUCAUGUUAUCUGAGUUAUUAGAGAAGAUUUUUAAUAAACACUGAUGCCUGCCUUUCACUCUAGAUUAGGGUUUCUGUAUGGUGGAGGCUGACCUGGGGCCCUACCUAGUGAUGGCCAAACAUUCUCCCCUUAAGCAAAAAGUUUUCCAGACAUUGCUACAUGUCACCUGAGAGACAAAAUCCCCUGCCCUUCCUCCCCAUGGUGGUAUGACUGGUCAUCUUAUGUUUUCUAGCUCAUUUUCAUGUGCAAUCUUUUCUUAUUUCAUUUUCCUUGCAUCUUUCUAUGCCCUUAUAAUUGCUGGUCGCUUUCCUUGAUAAGAUAUGCUAUCUUCGGUAUAUAUGGGCACAUGUGUUUUAGGAAAAUACCAUGUCCAUAUCUUUAGCUCAAGGCAGAUGUCCCAUGUAUCUUAUAUAACAUGUUCAUGGCCAAGAUUUGUAUUUGCAUUGACUAAAGAAAUAAUUCACAAAAAACAAUGGACAACUGUUAAUACAUUGCAAAUGAAAUUAGCAAUUUUUUAAAAAAGCAAAUUAAAAGGACCCAGAACAUUUUUUUUUCUCUACCAGUUUGGCAAAAUGGACUCACUCAGUAAGUGUGGUCUCCAGUGUCUUGUGAGUGUUUGCAAUGUGCCAGGGAGGGAGUAGCACAGACAGGACUGUUGCCAUGAUGUUGCUUAUUCUCUAGAAGGGGAGAGACAAACAGUAUGCAGAAUUACACACCAAGCAAGCUAAUUUUACAGUCUUAAGUGCCAUUAAAGAAACAAAAAUGGGUGACAUGGGUGGAGAACAUGGAGCAGCAGUAGGCUACUGUAGAGGAUUAGAAAGGGACACAGUGGAAGUGACAUUUGAAUAUAAAACUGGUGCUGUGACACUCUGCUGGUUACAUGAAAAUUGGUCUAGCCUUUUAGGAAGGUAAUUGGUCAAUAUAGAUCAGGGGUUAUAAAAUGUUCAUUUGAUCCAAUCAUUUAAUAAAUAGGAGACAUCUCUGAGAAUGUGCUACAUCAACACCACCUCUGGGACAGUAGGCCAAGGAAACUUCCAAAACACUGUGAAAUAACCCAAUACUGUAAAAACUUCAUAUUUUUUUUACAAAGCUAUAAGCUACUGAACUGUCAACAGAUGGGGAUGGUUGGAUGAAUUCUGAUAGAUCUACGGAAAUGUGGAGAAUGCUUACCAUAUAAUGUAAAAAAUUAUGUAAUAUGUAGAAUGCAUAAAUACAGUCUAAAAAAUAUGUUAGUAAUGUUUCUAUACCCAUUGAUUGUAUCUAAGCCUAGACAGGUAAGAAAAGAUGGAAAGUUAAUUCAACAAAAUAAAACAAUGAUUGUAUAGGAGGUGGUUUUUAUUAGUUUUUUUUUUUCCUGCUUUUCUAAGUUUUCUGAUUCACUUUUCAAACAGAUUUCUAAGAAAUGUGCUUAUCUUUCUCUUCCACUAGCUAAUUUGCUGAUAGAGCAGAGGGCUCUGUCUUAUUUGCCAUUGGAGCUAACUUCAGUGUCUUUUACAGUUCCUUGCACAUUGUAGUCAUUCAAUAAAUGUUGGCCAAAAUGAAUUUUCUGAACUUUUUCCCUUAACAUAUCUGGGGAUAUAAUAUCUACAGAAUGUUAAUAAGCAAGGUCAAAGAAUGUGACCUUCCAGUCAUAAGCUGAUUAGGUUCUGGGGAUCUAAUGUCCAGUAUGAUGAUUAUAGUCAAUAAUGCUGUAUUAUAAACUUCAAAGUUUCUGAGAGAGUACAUCUCAAAUGCUCUCACCACAACAAAAGAAAUGACAAUUAUGUGAAGGAAGGGAUAGAAGUGUCAGCCUACUUUGCAGUGGUAAUCAUUUUGCAAUAUAUAAAUGUAUCAAAUCAACAUGCUGUAUUUCUUAAACUUAUACAAUGUUCUAUGUCAACACUAUGUCAAUGAAGCUGGAGGGGAAAAAAGAAAUCUAAACAAGCAGAAAAACUAAUUAAGUAAGAAAAAGUCAGCUCAAAGGGGAAAUUAAUAUGUUGUAAAAACAACAAAUAAUCAGGUGGUAGAUAUCCUCCAUAAAAUAUGUGCAUGAUCAGGAGUUAUUUCUACUCCAAAAUAAGCACAAGUUAUGCCUCAAGAACUAGACAGUUGUGAGAGCCAUUAAAAUUUUUGUAGUAAGUUUCAGGAGUAUCAAAAUGUUUUCCUAAUGUCUAUAUUAGCACCAGUGACGUAGUUGCAAAGGGAUAAUUUGGCAUAUAAUUUGCUAUAAUUUUAAUAUACUGAAAAUACACUUUUGAGCAAGUUCUGAAUUCUGACAUAAACCUUCCUAUAGUACUAUUUUUCAAUAAUAUAUAUAAUUUAUUAUGUAUUAUAUAUAAUACAACUUUAUAUUUUCCAAAUGUGUAGCUCAGUUCAAAUAAUAGCCUUUUAUCUCUGUAUUUUAAAAUAUUUUAGAUCCUUGCAUUUUGAAGUUUGGUCCCUGAAUCAAAAGCUUUCUAAUCACCUGGAGAUUUGAUGGAAAUGAAGAAUUUCAGACUCCACCCUGACCAACUAAAUCACAACUUGCUUUUUAAGGACAUCUCCAAAUGAUUGGUAUGCUCAUUAAAAUUUGAGAAGCACCCCACUCUGGAAUGUGGGCUCUCAAGAUUAAUUGACGUGUUCAACCUUUCUAUCUUUUCUGUUUGUCUGAAGAGAUGAAAGGAUUAGAAUUUUGCAUAGUUAGAACAGCACCAUUGUAAAAUUCUUCAUGGUCUUUGUUUCAUUUUUAGACAAAGGGAAGGACAAUCAGGCAGAGUCAUUUUGAAUUUAAGAACUAUAUCUAGCUUAGUCUUUCUGGAUUUAUCUGUAACCUGGAGACUGUCCUAGAUAGGGGAAUGGAUGGUAUAAAAAAAUCCAGUGUCUUUCAGAUAAAUCACAAAGUCAACAAAGAAAUAGGUGAAAGUACAAAUAAAAAACUCUUGAGAAUCUUCCUAAAAUGACUUAAAGCCAACCUAAAUAUGACAGUUCAAUUUUAAAACAACAGGGAAGUCUCGAGUUUCAAGGGUAACAGUGAAGGUGAUUGCUGGAAGUUACUUUUCUUGAAUCUGACAUUGGUCAAAAGCCUUUUAAAGAAGGUUUUGUGUUUUGUGCUCUAAUAGUAAUUGUAAAUAGAUAUUCAAAUGGAUAUGAACAAACCUCUCUAUGACAUAUAAAGCCAAAAUAUUGACCCCUCCUUUUCUCCUACCUCCAGGCACUGAUUUCACAGAAGAAUUCAAUUGUAUUUAUGGCUCAUGAACAAACAUAAUGGUAAAAAUGCUAUGUGGGUAUAAACACAUUUCUUCCCAGGGGCUCAAACUGCAUUCUAGACAUUAUCUCAUUAAUUGCUCCCUUAAAUCUUUCUCAUUGAUUUUUAUAUUUUUUGAACCAACAAAUUCACUAUUGUUUGCAUAUGAAAGAAAAAGUUCACUUCAGUUAGAAAUUGAGAUCUUAAGCAUUUUUAUAACUGCGAUGUUAUAUUUCAAUUGACAAGGAGCUGCUG
rnacentral:lncRNA from 1 species